GCAACGCGCUUGCGAUGCUUCUGGUGUUGCAGACGUCUAAGUCUGCUAAGCUAGACUAAUCGCUUACCAUCAGGUGAACCGCACGCUUGUUUGGCGAUCUAGCUUAUAAUA